rnacentral:rRNA from 1 species
UACGUAGGGUGCGAGCGUUGUCCGGAAUUACUGGGCGUAAAGAGCUCGUAGGUGGUUUGUCGCGUCUGCCGUGAAAGUCCGGGGCUCAACUCCGGAUCUGCGGUGGGUACGGGCAGACUAGAGUGAUGUAGGGGAGACUGGAAUUCCUGGUGUAGCGGUGAAAUGCGCAGAUAUCAGGAGGAACACCGAUGGCGAAGGCAGGUCUCUGGGCAUUAACUGACGCUGAGGAGCGAAAGCGUGGGGAGCGAACAGG